rnacentral:rRNA from 1 species
UACGGAGGGGGCUAGCGUUGUUCGGAAUUACUGGGCGUAAAGCGCACGUAGGCGGCUUUGUAAGUUAGAGGUGAAAGCCUGGGGCUCAACUCCAGAAUUGCCUUUAAGACUGCAUCGCUUGAACGUCGGAGAGGUGAGUGGAAUUCCGAGUGUAGAGGUGAAAUUCGUAGAUAUUCGGAAGAACACCAGUGGCGAAGGCGGCUCACUGGACGACUGUUGACGCUGAGGUGCGAAAGCGUGGGGAGCAAACCGG